rnacentral:rRNA from 1 species
GGCGGCGUGCCUAAUACAUGCAAGUCGAACGCACUGACUUCGACAGAAGGUGCUUGCACUGGAAGUUGAUUGACGUGAGUGGCGGACGGGUGAGUAACACGUGGGUAACCUGCCCUUAAGCGGGGGAUAACAUUUGGAAACAGAUGCUAAUACCGCAUAAAAGUUGAGAUCACAUGGUCUUAAUUUGAAAGACGGCCUUUGGCUGUCACUUAAGGAUGGACCCGCGGCGUAUUAGCUAGUUGGUGAGAUAAUAGCCCACCAAGGCGAUGAUACGUAGCCGACCUGAGAGGGUAAUCGGCCACAUUGGGACUGAGACACGGCCCAAACUCCUACGGGAGGCAGCAGUAGGGAAUCUUCCACAAUGGACGAAAGUCUGAUGGAGCAACGCCGCGUGAGUGAAGAAGGUUUUCGGAUCGUAAAACUCUGUUGUUGGAGAAGAACAGGGACUAGAGUAACUGUUAGUCCUUUGACGGUAUCCAACCAGAAAGCCACGGCUAACUACGUGCCAGCAGCCGCGGUAAUACGUAGGUGGCAAGCGUUGUCCGGAUUUAUUGGGCGUAAAGCGAGCGCAGGCGGUUUCUUAAGUCUGAUGUGAAAGCCUUCGGCUUAACCGAAGAAGUGCAUCAGAUACUGGGAAACUUGAGUGCAGAAGAGGGAAGUGGAACUCCAUGUGUAGCGGUGAAAUGCGUAGAUAUAUGGAAGAACACCAGUGGCGAAGGCGGCUUUCUGGUCUGUAACUGACGCUGAGGCUCGAAAGUAUGGGGAGCGAACAGGAUUAGAUACCCUGGUAGUCCAUACCGUAAACGAUGAAUGCUAAGUGCUGGAGGGUUUCCGCCCUUCAGUGCUGCAGCUAACGCAUUAAGCAUUCCGCCUGGGGAGUACGACCGCAAGGUUGAAACUCAAAGGAAUUGACGGGGGCCCGCACAAGCGGUGGAGCAUGUGGUUUAAUUCGAAGCUACGCGAAGAACCUUACCAGGUCUUGACAUCUAGCGCCAAUCCUAGAGAUAGGACGUUCCCUUCGGGGACGCUAAGACAGGUGGUGCAUGGUUGUCGUCAGCUCGUGUCGUGAGAUGUUGGGUUAAGUCCCGCAACGAGCGCAACCCUUAUGAUUAGUUGCCAGCAUUUAGUUGGGCACUCAAAUCAGACUGCCGGUGACAAACCGGAGGAAGGUG